UGGCGGCCAUAAUGCAGAGCUCUCGCUCGCCAAAAUUACACCUGCUCUGCAAGCUAGCUCUGAGAAGGUGCAAGGUCAUUCGAUAGAAAGUUUUCUUUAUUUUGUUGAAGGGCCCAGAUAUCAAUUUCAAGGAGAAAUUGGUUUUCCAGCAUGAAAUGGGUGAUAAACAAUGAUAUUUAAUAAUUAUUUCAUAGCCUUGAAUCUACAUCUUGAAUACUUUAAACGUAUGUUUCACGUGUCAAAACACUUACAGGGUGAUAGGUUUCUUUGAAGUGCGAGGCUAGUUCAGCUGAGUGUUCAGCUGAUGCAUGGCAACCCGAACUUUUUGCACUUGAACCAAAAGUAAGACUGGCAGCGACUGGCAGCUAACAUACUUACGAAUUGUGCGCGUGUCAACUUGUAAGUGAGCUGUCAAGUUGGGGAGACUCAAAGUUGAUCAAGAAAUUCCUAUCAACUCAUCUGUUCGUCAAGUAACAAAAAGCUACAAUGAGUUAGCGACACAUUCCUUGCUUGGAGAAGUGCCCUGUCAUUAUGAUCGGCAACAUAAAGUUACCAAAAAGCGUGGAAAAGAUGCAAGUGACCAAGUCAAGAUCAGCUGUAGUUUUUUCUCCAGUUGGUAGAAAUGUUGGUGCCAGUUUUCUUGGUCAAUCACAAAGUGAAGUAAGGCAAAACCAAAUUACGUCUCUUGCAUUACUUUUCAAACUUAUGGGAAAUUGCUCUUCUCUAAUGUUCUAAGAAAGUACUCAAAAUUCUACUAAAUGAAGCUGUACUAUGCCAGAUAUGCAAAACCACCUAAAAAGAACCAAUCAACGGAUGUCAGUGGUAAAUAAAUA